rnacentral:rRNA from 1 species
AGCAGUAGCCACGGGAAUACGAGGGGGGCUAGCGUUGUUCGGAAUUACUGGGCGUAAAGGGCGCGUAGGCGGCCAUUCAAGUUAAAUGUGAAAGCCCUGGGCUCAACCUAGGAAUUGCAUUUGAUACUGUUUGGCUUGAGUUCGGGAGAGGUGAGUGGAAUUCCCAGUGUAGAGGUGAAAUUCGUAGAUAUUGGGAAGAACACCAGUGGCGAAGGCGGCUCACUGGACCGACACUGACGCUGAGGCGCGAAAGCGUGGGGAGCAAACAGGAUUAGAUACCCCGUAGUCCCUGUCUCUUAUACA